rnacentral:rRNA from 1 species
UACGUAGGGUGCAAGCGUUGUCCGGAAUUAUUGGGCGUAAAGGGCUCGUAGGCGGUCUGUCGCGUCGGGUGUGAAAACCCGGGGCUUAACCCCGGGCCUGCAUUCGAUACGGGCAGACUAGAGUGCUGUAGGGGAGACUGGAAUUCCUGGUGUAGCGGUGAAAUGCGCAGAUAUCAGGAGGAACACCGGUGGCGAAGGCGGGUCUCUGGGCAGUAACUGACGCUGAGGAGCGAAAGCGUGGGGAGCAAACAGG